UUCCUCAGGAACCUACCAACGGUAACAAACGGAAUAAAGAAAACUCAUAAAGAAGUUCAGAAAAAAUUUUUACCACGGUGCCGACAACCGAGACAGAGGAAGUGAACAACUGGAUUUUCCAUGGGAAAAAUGCAAAUCCUUCAAAAAAUUUUCAAAUGUAGAAAUGUAGAAGAACCCACGAAGAGAACCCUCGGUGAGAAUUAAGGUGAAAAGAGCAAUUUGCAAAUCCUGAAUUUUUUAUUAAUAAAUUCAAAUGCAAAAACUCUUCGCCGAUCUGUGGAAGAAGAGAAGAACUCACGAAGAGAACCCACGGUAAACAGAUCGAUUUUUGCCAACCCACGUAGAGAAGCUCGGUUUCGCACAAAGAGAAGCUCGGCAUGAACAGAAGCUCUGUUACGCAUGAAGAGGAGCUCCACGAAGAGGAAGAGAAGCUCCGUCUGCCUGUAUUUUUCUUGUUUUCAUCUUUUCGUGUUUUCUCUUUUCAAUAUUUUUUUUUUUUUUAAAAAAAUGGGCUGACGUGGGCCGUGGAAUGGGCAUUGCACAGCAGUUACGGAUGCCGACUGUCCGUAGAAGAACAGUAAAUAAAAUGAUAAAGAUAAUAAAUUAUAUAUUAAUUAAAUAAAAGGAAGUAAUUAAGACAUAUACAAGCUGGGAUGCUGCAGUGAAGAGAGAGAAUGGAGCUAGAUUUCAAUUCUCGUUGGUUGGGUGUGGGCUUUGAACUCACAUCUAGGGCCCAUAGAGUGAGCUUAUAACCUAAGUUUCCUAAGUUCUAAAAUCUGCGUUCUAUUCUUUUCUGUUUUUUCUGGUUUUUAAGAAAAAUUGAAUAGAAGAUGUAUGACCUCCACAUCACACGCUAUGUUGAGAUAAGGAAAAUGAUCAAGGUUAAAUGAAUGGUAGUGUUGUAAAACUUAAUUUUAUUUAUCAUGAUUUGGCAUGUCUAUUACACUUCCUUUUAUAACUCUUUAUUGAGAUAAUCCUAAAAGUCCAACUCUAUAAUUCAGGAUUGCUAUUGUAAUACUCGGCUUAGGGCCCAAGCUUAGCCCAUUACAAAACCCACAAGUAUAGCCUUGAAACCUCCCAGACGUUGCCGUUCCGGUGAGUACCUCUUUCCUUCAACUUCUUUUCUUCUUCUUUCCGAGAUUUUCUCUCUCCUGAGUUCCGUAUGGCCCAUGUCCCUGUAGUUACACGAAUUGGUUCUCAUACUCAAACUUCCCAUAUCAAACUCUACUUCUCACUUUCGCUCUCUCAUUUCCACUUCGUCUUUGCUGCAAUUUCCUUGGUGGAUUUUUCAGUUUUAGUGUUUUCAAACUUUGAUGAACGGUGCCAUACGAUAACCUCAUUGUUGCAAACAUCCUCAUUGCCAUAAUUUUCUCCUGAUUUCUCUAGUGAACCAAGGUAAGUGUCCUUGCUCUCUAUUAUUCCAUAAAGCUUAGAAGUUUCUAUUAUAAACGUCGAGUGGGAGUUUUGUGCUAUUUUAGAAAUCUUGAAUAAAUUAGUGAAUUACAUGAAACUUUGGUGGGGAUGUUGGAUGAAUUUGGAAUUGUUGUGGCUGGAAGUUGCUUGAAAGUUUUAUUUGGUUAUGCUUAUAUUGUAGGAUCUAUAAAGGAGUUGUUUUUCUUGUUUGUUGUUGGUCGGGUUAAUAUUGUUGGUUGUUUUAAGUCUUUAAGUGGCUAUUUUGUUGAGAUACGACUGUGUGUAUAAAUACAUGACAAAUUGGAGUGGAGGAGUGAUUUAUUUGAACUAUUAUAAUUUGCUUUAAGAGUUAAUAAGUAACCCAGGGAUUGUUUGAAUUGGGUAUUGUAUUUAUUCAUGAAUAUUUGACUUUGGUUACAUGUCAAGAGUAAGUUGAUCAACUAAGAAAUAGGAAUUUUCACUUGAAGUAAGCAUAGCUGCAAGAGUUGGACAUGACUGCUUGUUUGACUUAUAUAUGUACAUAUAAUAGUCCAUAAAAUUAGUGGCGAUGAUUUUCAAUAAUUAAAACUCUUAACGAUUAUUUUCUGAUGUAGGCGGUGAAGAGGUUGAACUCAAGAUUAAGUUAAUGCGCAACAAAAAUGAGAUAAGUAGAGUUUCUAUACUAGACUUUGCAUAAAAAAAAAAAAUGAAACAAUGUUGACUUUUAAAAUAUGCAUGUUUUAUUUUUGAAAAGAGAUGUGAAAAAUAAUCUCAAUUAUUUGUUUCGACACUACUCAUAAACUCUAUAUGAAAGAGAAAAUACUUUUGCCAUGAAUGGUGUAAACAUGAGUUCAUUUUUGCAUAUUGUUUCUAAACUUUGUAAAAAGAUCAAAAAUGAGAUUCUUAAAGUUUUGUUGUGGUUAAGAUGAAGGUACUUUGAUUUUAUUCUAUUGAAUACAUGAAAUGAUCUAAAGCUACUCAGUAUUUUGUUAUGAUAAGAUGUUUAAGUUGAAAAAAAAAAUCUUGGCAUGAGUUUCUGUUUCUGUAUUUGAUUAUGAUCUAGUUCCGAUGAUAUUUUGGUACUAUUUCUAUUGAGGCCCUUCCAUGGGUAUAAUAGUUGCAUACGAUCCCGCCUGGAUAUACCACUAUUAUAGUUUCUGUGCUUACUAAGUUGUUGAUAGCUCACCCCCUUAUUUCUAUAACAUUUUUUAGAUGACUUUGAUGAUAUAGCUAAGGAGUAAUGGAGUAAGUGGCAAGAAUAGUUGAGGGUUCUGGUUGAGUACCUUGGAGUGCAAGUGCUGUUGGAAGAUUUAUUUAUUAAGUAAUUUGAUUUUAAUAUAUUCAGAUGAUUAUGAAGACUUAUGUAUUAUUUAAGUUCAUUAUGUUAGUAGAGACAUGUGGAGAAGUCGUUUUAUUUUAUUUGGAUUAUAGUAUUGAGGAGUUGAUGGAUUGAUUUGUGUAGUUAAUUAUAUUAGAGGAAUUUAUGUUUGGUUUUGGAGUCUUUACAAAUA